GACGAACGCUGGCGGCGUGCUUAACACAUGCAAGUCGAACGGAAAGACCCUGCUUUUGUGGGUUGCUCGAUUGGCGCACGGGUGAGUAACACGUGUGUAACCUGCCCUUGACUUUGGGGUAACUUCUGGAAACUGCGGCUAAUACCGGAUAGGAGCUCCUGCUGCAUAGGGGGGGUUGGAAAGAUUCGGCGGUUGGGGAUGGACUCGCUGUUUAUCAGCUUGUUGGUGGGGUAGGUGCUUACCAAGGCUUUGACGGGUAGCCGGCCUGAGAGGGUGACCGGGGACAAUGGGACUGAGAUACGCACCAGACUCGUACGGGAGGCAGCAGUGGGGAAUAUUGCAGAACGGGCGGAAGCCUGAGGCAGCAACGUCGCGAGCGGGAUGACGGCCUUCGGGUUGUAAACCGCUGUCUCCGGAGACGUAGCGGGAUUGACGGUAAUGGGUAAAGAAGCACCGGCUAACUACGUG
rnacentral:rRNA from 1 species